ensembl:lncRNA
CUUGCUCUAUUCUACUGACUUUAAACAUAGUAUGAUAUUUUAGUUGAUUUUUUUAGAUUUUCUAAAUACACAAAUAUUAUCACAAUACAUAAAAGUGAUAAAAGCUAAUUUUGCUUCUUUCUUUAGUUUGAGCUUUAACAUUUUUCUUUUCCUGGCAAUCCUGUCCUUUGAUACUGGGGUACAACAGAGCUAAGCAAUGGGGUAUGGUGGCAUCAAAUUGAUUUAACUGUGGGAUGAAUGGGAUGUAGAACCUGGAAUCCACAUGGGACUGGAGGACAUGGCAUUUGCCCCAAGACCCCAAGGCCUGGAGAUAAAUUGGAAAAUGGGUUGGGCAAGUUCAGAUACUUUGCAAAAAUACUCUGGAUGCAGAAUGGCUUUAGGAAGAGCUGUGAGCAUUUUUCUUGGUGUCUGUUGCAUUGUUGUUUGCACAAUUCUGUCAUCAGACUUUCCAAACCACACUGCAAGCAUUUGUUCAAUUGUCAGACAUUCUUUAAGUUAUCAUCUGCUCAACUGGACAUUGAGCUUCCUGAAGUGAUGCCAUUCUUCUCAGAACCCAGGCAGCAGCUGCUGCCUGACCCAUUCAGUCACUGCUUCCCAAGGGAUUUUAGGGACCUGGUCAAGUAUCCAUGUGUUUUUCCCCAAGUGGAUGGUGUUGCCAGUGAACUUCCAAUGGAUGUGGCAAAUGGAUUUUAACAGACUGAGGUAAGUGGAGUCCUCAUUUUACCAUCUAGUACUGUUUUCCGUAGAGUGAGUUAUUUAACAUCUCUAAGACCCGUUACUCCUUUGCCAACAAAGAGAAUAAAAACAACACAAAGCAAAACAAAACCAAGCAAAAUAAAACAAAACAAAACACUACCAAAACCCUCACCUUGUUGUGAGGAUGAAAUGAGAUGAAGUAAUGUUUAGCCCACAGUAGGCUCUCAAAAAAGGUUGUCAUGAUCACCUCUGUUAUGGUUUAGGUCUAAAAUGGCCCCAGAGUCUCACAGGUUUGGAAGGUGAUUGGAUUAUGAGGGCAUCACAGCAGACUGGCUGUUAGGAGGCGGGUUGUGGUCAAGAGCAGUGGUCACUGUGGGUGUGAGUGGAAGGUACAACUCCCUUUCCAGCUCCUCCUUGACUUUCUCUGCUUCCUGUCUGACAUGGGGUGAGCAGUUUCCAUCCCUAGACCUUUCCACCAUGCCACUUCCUCCUGGAGGCCCAUGUAAGGACUGAAAAUUCUAAAACAUGGCCAAAAAUCUCUCUCCUUCCUUAAAUUGCAGGUGUCAGGUAUUUUGUCUCAGUGAUGAGGAAAGUGACUAAAACAACCCUAAAAAGUUACAUUGAUCCUCAGUUGUAUAAGAUGUGAUUGCAGCUGGCUUGAAUAGAAAUUGGAAACAAAUACUGUCCUUGAGAUAGUCCCUGAGCUAAUGAUCUCUGCUUAUUCCAAUUCCUUCUCUGUGGCCUUCUCAGGUGGUAAAGUAUGUUUUAUAUUCUGAUCCUACUGGUACAGCUAGCCCAGUGGAGAGGCAAGUGUAGCAGGCACUCUUAACUGAGUUCCUGUAGGCAUUUUCAUCCCUUAAUUCUUUUACAUUUGAUUCCAUGAUUACUAAACUGUGUGUUGAUUAUGAUUUCUGCUCUCAUACAGAGAGAAAAUAGUCUUAUGAUAGGGACACGAAUGUUCUGGUCACCAUGACAAUUAUUUGUUCCUGUAAUUUUCUAAAUUUGCAAAGGUAGAACAGGCUGGUAAUGAAAAGUGAAUGUUGGAGUUUCUGUAAUGGUAAUUUCUCAUUACCAAUUAAUCAGCGUCAUUCUAGCAAUUUCACAAGCUCAGUGAAUGUAUAGUCCUCAGUGAUAGCUUAUUUUGAUUUCUUUUUAGAUAAAUCUACAAAGAUAUGGGCCAGACCCUGAGCUCUGAUGAGUUUGCUAAGGGAAUAAUAGUGCAGCACUCUGAGGUGUGUGUUGGGGAGACAGUUGUUUCCCCCAUUAUAUCCAACAUAGCCAUUGGCGAAGUUCACGGGGCUUCUUUGCUUGGGAUAUUUGCCAGUCAAGAUUCAAUGAGAUCUUGAACUGUGAGCUGUCUCUGUGAUUUCACUUUCUUUGAAAUACUUUCCUUCCUCCUGCUCUCUGAAGCAAGGAAGGUUUUGAAAACCGAUCUAAGUGUUAUAAAGAUAGUUUUGGAAUAAAGG